UGGGGAAUUUUGGACAAUGGGCGAAAGCCUGAUCCAGCAAUGCCGCGUGUGUGAAGAAGGCCUUCGGGUUGUAAAGCACUUUUGUCCGGAAAGAAAUCCUUGGCUCUAAUACAGUCGGGGGAUGACGGUACCGGAAGAAUAAGCACCGGCUAACUACGUGCCAGCAGCCGCGAUAAUACGUAGGGUGCAAGCGUUAAUCGGAAUUACUGGGCGUAAAGCGUGCGCAGGCGGUUUGCUAAGACCGAUGUGAAAUCCCCGGGCUCAACCUGGGAACUGCAUUGGUGACUGGCAGGCUAGAGUAUGGCAGAGGGGGGUAGAAUUCCACGUGUAGCAGUGAAAUGCGUAGAGAUGUGGAGGAAUACCGAUGGCGAAGGCAGCCCCCUGGGCCAAUACUGACGCUCAUGCACGAAAGCGUGGGGAGCAAACAGGAUUAGAUACCCUGGUAGUCCACGCCCUAAACGAUGUCAACUAGUUGUUGGGGAUUCAUUUCCUUAGUAACGUAGCUAACGCGUGAAGUUGACCGCCUGGGGAGUACGGUCGCAAGAUUAAAACUCAAAUGAAUUGACGGGGUCAUAGCUGUUUCCU
rnacentral:rRNA from 1 species